GAUGAACGCUGGCGGCGUGCCUAAUACAUGCAAGUCGAGCGAACAGAUGAGGAGCUUGCUCCUCUGACGUUAGCGGCGGAAGGGUGAGUAACACGUGGAUAACCUACCUAUAAGACUGGGAUAACUUCGGGAAACCGGAGCUAAUACCGGAUAAUAUAUUGAACCGCAUGGUUCAAUAGUGAAAGACGGUUUUGCUGUCACUUAUAGAUGGAUCCGCGCCGCAUGAGCUAGUUGGUAAGGUAACGGCUUACCAAGGCAACGAUGCGUAGCCGACCUGAGAGGGUGAUCGGACACACUGGAACUGAGACACCGUCCAGACUCGUACGGGAGGGAGCAGUAGGGAAUGUUCCGCCAUGGUCGAAAGCCUGACGGAGCAACGCCGCGUGAGUGAUGAAGGGCUUCGGAUCGUGAAACUCUGUUAUUAGGGAAGAACAAAUGUGUAAGUAACUAUGCACUUCUUGACGGUACCUAAUCAGAAAGCCACGGCUAACUACGUG
rnacentral:rRNA from 1 species